CCGGGCCUCAGCUCGCAGCCACCGCCUUCACCCUCACCAAGAUUCCAUCCAAUGCAUUAAGUCUUAAAUUGGAUGAGGCCCCAGACGAUUAUCUUAAAGAAAAAUUGAUGGAAAUAUUUAUUAAUUUGACCGAGUUAGACAAGAAAGCAAGUGAAAGAUGCUUAGAAAUAAAAAGUUGGAACUUGCAGACUGCCUUAGAACAUUUUAUACAAUUAUUAAAACUGGAUGAUCUCUCAUCUUUGUACAAUUGAUUGUAAUUAGUACCUACAUUAAUUAUGUACCGCAACAGUAAUGUAAUAAAACAACUUUAU